AGCGGCGGACGGGUGAGUAACACGUGGGUAACCUGCCCAAGAGACUGGGAUAACACCUGGAAACAGAUGCUAAUACCGGAUAACAACACUAGACGCAUGUCUAGAGUUUGAAAGAUGGUUCUGCUAUCACUCUUGGAUGGACCUGCGGUGCAUUAGCUAGUUGGUAAGGUAACGGCUUACCAAGGCAAUGAUGCAUAGCCGAGUUGAGAGACUGAUCGGCCACAUUGGGACUGAGACACGGCCCAAACUCCUACGGGAGGCAGCAGUAGGGAAUCUUCCACAAUGGACGAAAGUCUGAUGGAGCAACGCCGCGUGAGUGAAGAAGGGUUUCGGCUCGUAAAGCUCUGUUGGUAGUGAAGAAAGAUAGAGGUAGUAACUGGCCUUUAUUUGACGGUAAUUACUUAGAAAGUCACGGCUAACUACGUGCCAGCAGCCGCGGUAAUACGUAGGUGGCAAGCGUUGUCCGGAUUUAUUGGGCGUAAAGCGAGUGCAGGCGGUUCAAUAAGUCUGAUGUGAAAGCCUUCGGCUCAACCGGAGAAUUGCAUCAGAAACUGUUGAACUUGAGUGCUGAAGAGGAGAGUGGAACUCCAUGUGUAGCGGUGGAAUGCGUAGAUAUAUGGAAGAACACCAGUGGCGAAGGCGGCUCUCUGGUCUGCAACUGACGCUGAGGCUCGAAAGCAUGGGUAGCGAACAGGAUUAGAUACCCUGGGUAGUCCAUGCCGUAACGAUGAGUGCUAAGUGU
rnacentral:rRNA from 1 species